AACCUACCUCUAUCAGGGGGAUAGCCUCUCAAAAGAGAGAUUAACACCGCAUAACAUAUGUGACCGGCAUCGGUUGGAUAUUAAAUAUUUAUAGGAUAGAGAUGGGCUCGCGUGACAUUAGCUAGUUGGUAGGGUAACGGCUUACCAAGGCGACGAUGUCUAGGGGCUCUGAGAGGAGAAUCCCCCACACUGGUACUGAGACACAGACCAGACUCCUACGGGAGGCAGCGGUAAGGAAUAUUGGUCAAUGGGCGGAAGCCUGAACCAGCCAUGCCGCGUGCAGGACGACUGCCCUAUGGGUUGUAAACUGCUUUUGUCCAGGAAUAAACCUAGAUACGUGUAUCUAGCUGAAUGUACUGGAAGAAUAAGGAUCGGCUAACUCCGUGCCAGCAGCCGCGGUAAUACGGAGGAUCCGAGCGUUAUCCGGAUUUAUUGGGUUUAAAGGGUGCGUAGGCGGCCUAUUAAGUCAGGGGUGAAAUACGGUGGCUCAACCAUCGCAGUGCCUUUGAUACUGAUGGGCUUGAAUCCAUUUGAAGUGGGCGGAAUAAGACAAGUAGCGGUGAAAUGCAUAGAUAUGUC
rnacentral:rRNA from 1 species